GUGCUGCUCAGCUUUCCCCAGGUGUGAGCCAGUGCCCUAUUGAUUUCCAGUCAGAUCUCCGUGGCUGCGCUAGGAAAGAGUUAUGGAGCAUUGUGUCCACCAAGUGCAGUGCUGCAGCAGCUCUGGUCCAUCUUUUCCAGCCCUCAGCAUGGAGUCCCAGCCCUGCCCUGCCCACUAACAGGGCAAGGGCAGAAGCAGGAGCACCAUCAGGGCUCUGAUGUGCAGGAGAUGCUCUCAGGAGAACAGAGCUGGAAUGUGCCCUGGCACUGCGAGGAUCCUUGUUAGUGGUACCACUGGAGGAAGAGCAGUAAUUAUUCCUAAAAUCUAGGCUGUGGAGUGUUCUGGAAGAGAAGAGAGUAUACACUUGCUCUCCUGAGUACGAGAAAAUUGAAUUGCUUGGAAAGCACUGGGAUGUCACUGUUUUCUGCCGCAUGUAAAGCUGAUCUGCAAGGCCUCUCUGGAGAGCCUGCAUGGAUAAUUGCCUCGCUAAUGAAGGUGGGAUUCCAGCUCAGGACCUUUCUGUGGGACCCAAGGAUGUCAUACAUCCAUUCCCACAGUCAAAGGGGAUCACUCUGGAGCUUCUCCCAUGCAGGGCUCUGACCUCUCUUUGUUUCUCACCCCUAAAAAGGGGGCAAGUGACCUCAGAAAUGGAGGGACUUCCAAAAGAUGAAUGUUGGGAUUUGCCAGUUUUAGCUGCUGGGGACUCAAGAUGGGGCAGAAGGGAUGUACCCCUGCUGCCCUGCUCUCAUCCUGUCCCCUGAGGACCCAUAGGUUCCAGUUUGUCCUUUCUGUGUUGGUCUGGAGUGAUGCUGGGAUGCCCAGCUGGUGUCAUCGGACGUACAGGGCUCUCUGGGGACUUAAAUCACAGCUCUGUCCUCUGCAUGAAGAUAAAUGACAUCCUGCAGCGCAGGUGCUUUACAAAGAACAAUAAAUGGAAAGCUCUUGGCUGGGCUCAGCGAUAGGGCCAGGAUCCUCUUUCACAGAGUAUUUUAGGGCUCAAGGCACCACAGCUGUUUGUGAGAUAAUCCUUCUGCCCUCCUCCUCAACCUUGAAAAAGAACUUUGCAGUCCCACUCAAACUGGAAAUAAAUCAGGAAAUGGCACUUUGUUCCUUCCAGAAAUAGGCUGGCUCUCCAAACCCUUUGAAACAGGCACCCGAGACAAGAAUCUGCUCAGGAACUAACUUUGUUCAGCCUGUUUGCAACAAAGUCUGCUCAUAAGCAAAUGAAGGACCUAGAUGUUGGUUUCAGGGCCUGUACUUGCAGGAGUACCUUUGUGGGGGUACUACUCUGGGGCACCAGCAGCAGGUCCUCUCUGCACUGACUUCAUCACAACAACCUAUGGGUUCCCCAGUUGGUCUCCAUGGGAUGGAGCUCCAUCCUCUCACUGCAAGCGGGAGAUGAAAGCACAAAAGCAGGCUGCAGAGGUGGCAGUGCUCCCUGCCAGGGGCUGAAUGAGGA